rnacentral:rRNA from 1 species
GAUGAACGCUAGCGGCAGGCUUAAUACAUGCAAGUCGAGGGGUAGCAAGAUUGUAGCAAUACAAUUGUUGACGACCGGCAAACGGGUGCGGAACACGUACACAACCUUCCUACAAGUGGGGAAUAGCCCAGAGAAAUUUGGAUUAAUACCCCGUAACAUAGCGAUGUGGCAUCACAUUGCUAUUAUAGCUUCGGCGCUUGUUGAUGGGUGUGCGGCUGAUUAGAUAGUUGGCGGGGUAACGGCCCACCAAGGCUACGAUCAGUAGCUGAUGUGAGAGAAUGAUCAGCCAAACGGGCACUGAGACACGGGCCCGACUCCUACGGGAGGCAGCAGUAAGGAAUAUUGGACAAUGGACGCAGGUCUGAUCCAGCCAUGCCGCGUGAAGGAUUAAGGUCCUCUGGAUUGUCAACUUCUUUUAUAAGGGACGAAAAAAGGUCUUUCUAGAUCGUCUGACGGUACCUUAUGAAUAAGCACCGGCUAACUCCGUGCCAGCCGCCGCCGUAAAAC